CGGAUUGUAGUCUGCAACUCGACUACAUGAAGCUGGAAUCGCUAGUAAUCGCGGAUCAGAAUGCCGCGGUGAAUACGUUCCCGGGUCUUGUACACACCGCCCGUCACACCAUGGGAGUCGGAAAUGCCCGAAGUCUGUGACCGAACCGAAAGGAAGGAGCAGCCGAAGGCAGGUCGGAUGACUGGGGUGAAGUCGUAACAAGGUAGC
rnacentral:rRNA from 1 species